CCCAGGUGGCCGCCGCAGCCGCUCCCGAGACGCUGCUGUCACCCCGGCCGCGCCCCCCAACUUUCUGCACAGUCGCGGAGCUGGAAGUUUCCGGGCUUCGCGGACGCUGGGCUGGGUUUCAGCCGCGGCUCUGAGACAACUUCUCAGACAUGAUCCUCUCUGAGGUUGGUCCUGGGCUUCCACAUAUGAUUCAUGGAAGAGGCCUCAGCCCCAAGAGCCCCUGAAGGCCUAGGACGGUCAGCCUCGCAUGCUCCACAGCAGAGUGACUGAAGAUCUAUCGAGGUGUGGCACCAGCGUGUUGACCUUUCAAGAGAAUCUGCAGCCUCCCUGGUUUUUCACAAAAGCUCCUAUGCAGGGCCUGGCCCUUUCCUGGGGAGGGAAGCCUGGCUGUGCCUCCCCCUGCAUCCUCACCGGGAACUCCAUUCCUGAGCUGCGACCGCUGUUUUUCAGAUUGGAAAAUGCCUUGGGAACGGCUCAUCUUCCUGCAGCUUAAGCCCAUUUGUUUUCUGACUGGUGGCCGCUGAUGAAUACAGUGUGUCACAAAGGGAACUGUCACCUUAGUUCUGUCAUACACCAUCAAUAACUCGUCCAGGGCUGACUUUGUGGGCGUUGUGGCUUGCCCCGUGGUAGAGGGUCUGUGUGCAGCAGGGCCCCACACUCAAUGUUUGGCUGUCCCCGAUCUUAAAAUUCUCAGUCAUUCUUGAACAAGGGAACCCAUAUUUUCAUUUUGUUCUAGGCUCUGAGAGUUACAUAACUGAUCCUGAUUUUGGCUGUUGGUCAACAGUGUCAUAAGGUAAAAUAAGGUAAAAAUCUAUGAGUUUUAUAUUUCUUUUCCUUUUUUUUUUUUUUUUUUUUAA